AUGACUCAGGGUGGUCGCAGACACGCUUCAUCUCUGGCUCAGCCGCGAGCACAGCUGGCCCCUUGCGCUUUAUGUCCUUGGCCUUGGCCUUCUUGUCUUCUAAAUCAGCAUCAAGGAGCUCGAGAAGGGAGAGGCGUCCCUCCUCGGCCCUCACGUACCUGUUCGCCAUGUUGA
rnacentral:rRNA from 1 species